rnacentral:rRNA from 1 species
UACGUAGGGUGCGAGCGUUGUCCGGAAUUAUUGGGCGUAAAGAGCUCGUAGGCGGUUUGUCACGUCUGCUGUGAAAUCCCGAGGCUCAACCUCGGGCCUGCAGUGGGUACGGGCAGACUGGAGUGCGGUAGGGGAGAAUGGAAUUCCUGGUGUAGCGGUGGAAUGCGCAGAUAUCAGGAGGAACACCGAUGGCGAAGGCGGCUCUCUGGGCCUUACCUGACGCUGAGGAGCGAAAGCGUGGGUAGCGAACAGG